CAUGUACUCCCUCCGUCCGGAAAUACUUGUCACUGAAAUGGAUGUAUCUAGAUGUAUUUUAGUUCUAGAUACAUCCAUUUUCAUCCAUUUUGAUGACAAGUAAUUCCGGACGGAGGGAGUACUUG
rnacentral:pre_miRNA from 1 species